rnacentral:rRNA from 1 species
UACGUAGGGGGCGAGCGUUGUCCGGAUUUAUUGGGCGUAAAGAGCGUGUAGGCGGUUCGGUAAGUCUGUCGUGAAAUCCUGAGGCUCAACCUCGGGCGUGCGAUGGAUACUGCCGGGCUAGAGGGUGGUAGAGGAGAGUGGAAUUCCACGUGUAGCGGUGAAAUGCGUAGAGAUGUGGAGGAACACCAGUGGCGAAGGCGACUCUCUGGUCUGUAACUGACGCUGAGGCGCGAAAGCGUGGGGAGCAAACAGG